UUUGUAAUUAAUCUCAUCCUCUUCUUAUUAGGGCACCCAUCGUGUACCGCCAAAAAUAAGAUAUUGGGGCUGCCGAUUUUAAGCCAGAGAGAACACACGAAGCCGCCUGAAGCCAUCCGUCGUCGACGCUGGGGUUCGAGGCGGGUAAAUCUUGUACCCCCCAUCUGAAGCCGUGUACCAUUGUGUGCCACCCAUCUGAAGCUGUCCAUGGUCGACACUGGCGUUCGAGGCGUGAAGUGUCCAAUCGGUUUAGUGCAGCCGCGUGGGUUCCGGUUCACGUCCGGCAAGUGGGUUUCCGGUGUGGGUGUUUUUCGGGCAGAUUGAUUCCAGUUUCAGGGGCUGUCUUCCGCGGGCGUGUCUCGCUUUCAGAGGCGUUGUUGUCCGUGGAUCUCUAGGUAUCAGUGGGUGUUUUUGACCGGCCGUGGGUUUGGUUUACCUCGUUUUUUUCUCUUAAAUAUCAUUUUAUUCCCAUAAUUUGGGAUUUUUCCAAUUCUAGUCCCGUAAUUUUAAAUAUUUAAUUUUUGAUUUGGACUAUAAUGUAGCAUCUUUUGUAAUGAUUUAUUGUUUGAAUGUUUGAUGAUGAAAUUGAUUUUGAAGUGUUGAAAGGAGUUGAGUUGCUAUCCAAUAAGCUUGAGACCGAUCUUCACAUAGUUUUGGUUGGAUUAUUUGUUGAAGUUUUGAAGUGGCAUUCGAAUCAAGUCACACUUUAGGUUGACUUGCUUAAACAUGGUUUGCCUGACUCUCAGUUCUCGAUGUUUAGACUUCAAAGCUUUAAUGUAAAGAUAAAUAAUGUACUUUGUUUAGAUGUUAUUUAUUAAACAAUUUCUCACUUUUGUGUUUGUUGAAAGUUGAGUUUUGUAUACACAAGCAAUAGUUGAGAUUUUAUUUUGUGCAUGUACAUGUGAAAAAGAAAUAUUGUUGUAAUUUAUGAGGAGUGUUCAUAUGAAAGGUCAUAGUUGAACAUAUGAAAUUUUUAGUGAAUAUAUUGAAUUGAUAGAUCUUAAA